GGGGUUGUAGCUCAAAUGGUGGAGCGCUCGCUUUGCAUGCGAGAGGUAAAUGUUAUUUUUUGAAUUAUCAGUCAAGCAGCCCCC
rnacentral:tRNA from 1 species